GCCGACUCGCGAUGCAUCUAGAUUAGAGUUUGAUCCUGGCUCAGGAUGAACGCUAGCGGCAGGCCUAAUACAUGCAAGCUGAACGGUAAAUAUUGUAGCAAUACAAUAUGAGAGUAGCGUAAGGGUGCGUAACACGUAUGCAAUCUGCCCUGUACAGGAGGAUAGCUCGGGGAAACCCGGAUUAAUACUCCGUAAUAUUAUUGGGUGGCAUCACCUGGUAAUUAAAGUCGCAAGACGGUAUGGGAUGAGCAUGCGUCUGAUUAGCUAGUUGGUAGUGUAACGGACUACCAAGGCGAUGAUCAGUAGGGGAACUGAGAGGUUGAUCCCCCACACUGGCACUGAGAUACGGGCCAGACUCCUACAGGAGGCAGCAGUAGGGAAUAUUGGUCAAUGGAUGCAAGUCUGAACCAGCCAUGCCGCGUGCAGGAAGAAGGCCUUCUGGGUUGUAAACUGCUUUUGCCGGGGGAUAAAAAGUCCAUGCGUGGACAAUUGAAGGUACCCGGUGAAUAAGCCACGGCUA
rnacentral:rRNA from 1 species